rnacentral:rRNA from 1 species
AACGAACGCUGGCGGCAUGCCUAACACAUGCAAGUCGAACGAGACCUUCGGGUCUAGUGGCGCACGGGUGCGUAACGCGUGGGAACCUGCCCUUAGGUUCGGAAUAACUCCCCGAAAGGGGUGCUAAUACCGGAUAAUGUCUUCGGACCAAAGAUUUAUCGCCUUUGGAUGGGCCCGCGUUGGAUUAGCUAGUUGGUAGGGUAAAAGCCUACCAAGGCGAGGAUCCAUAGCUGGUCUGAGAGGAAGAUCAGCCACACUGGGACUGAGAAACGGCCCAGACUCCUACGGGAGGCAGCAGUGGGGAAUAUUGGACAAUGGGCGAAAGCCUGAUCCAGCAAGGCCGCGUGAGUGAUGAAGGUCUUAGGGUUGUAAAGCUCUUUUACCCGGGAUGAUAAUGACAGUACCAGGAGAAUAAGCUCCGGCUAACUCCGUG